UACCUCAUGUCCAAGGAGUCAUUUGAAAGAAUGAGGGAUUCCGGACACGUCUUUAAAGUUCCAGCAGGUUGCCACGAAAUUUGUAGCUGUGAAAGGUGGGGGGGGGGAGGAUUAUUUCAGCUAUGUUUAAAACUUGUCUGGGUGACUGGAAAUUGCACAUAAAAAGCACUGCUGAGGGAAAAUGUUGAGGAGAGAUCCUAGGGGCCACAACUACUCACACUCAAACUGGAAAACUGGGGCAAACAUAAGUAUAUUCCACUGAGCAGUCUUAAUAGAGGAUUAAGCCAGUGAUGUUUUGUUACUGUCG